rnacentral:rRNA from 1 species
UACAGAGGGUGCAAGCGUUGCUCGGAUUUACUGGGCGUAAAGCGUACGCAGACGGCCGCGCAGGUCAGGUGUGAAAGCCCCGGGCUCAACCCGGGAAAUGCACUUGAAACCAUGUGGCUCGAGGAUGAGAGAGGAGAGCGGAAUUCCCGGUGUAGAGGUGAAAUUCGUAGAUAUCGGGAGGAACACCAGUGGCGAAAGCGGCUCUCUGGCUCAUUUCUGACGUUCAGGUACGAAAGCGUGGGGAGCAAACAGG